CAAUAGCGUAUAUUUAAGUUGUUGCAGUUAAAAAGCUCGUAGUUGGAUUUCGGAUGGGACUUGCCGGUCCGUCGUUUCGAUGUGCACUGGCCAGUCCUAUCUUGUUGUCGGGGACUAGCUCCUGGGCUUCACUGUCCGGGACUAGGAGCUGACGAGGUUACUUUGAGUAAAUUAGAGUGUUCAAAGCAAGCCUACGCUCUGAAUACAUUAGCAUGGAAUAACACGAUAGGACUCUGGCUUAUCUUGUUGGUCUGUGAGACCAGAGUGAUGAUUAAGAGGGACAGUCGGGGGCAUUCGUAUUUCAUUGUCAGAGGUGAAAUUCUUGGAUUUAUGAAAGACGAACUUCUGCGAAAGCAUUUGUCAAGGAUGUUUUCAUUAG
rnacentral:rRNA from 1 species